UCAGACAACAGUGCAUGAACUAAGCCAGCACACAGGAGACAAACUCGCACAGAGAGAAGAGUGGUGAGCACCAGAGGCCCGCUCCGACCAGGACCUGUGGUACCAUCCAAGAGCACCCUGUACGUGUGGAAAGGGCCGGGCAGACAGCACGACCAGAUGCCUGGCCCCAACCACACCUGCCCCGGGCUCCCUUGCACCAGCCAACAGAAUGGUAAAUGCACAGUGCAGAGGAAAGGAGGCUUCCGGAACACGUGCCCAGAAGGGAGAGGGAACAUGAACGCAGAGCCACAGCCCCGGAGGUUCUGGGGGCAGCUGAGCCCGUGGAGAGGAGAAGGACACACUCCAGAACCACCAAGCGGUAGAGGAGUCACUGCACCUCAAGAAGUCUCUCUCUGCAAUUCCUCUCCUGACAGCAGGGGCAGCAGGCACUGCUUGAGCACUUGCUGUGUACUGGUGCCACAUGAAGGCUCCGCGUGAAGUUACUCAUGUAUCCCACCAGGUGCCAGAGCUGGAGACCUGGGCAGGGGUGGCGAGGUUAACCCACCAAAGUGCUGAAGCUCAUGAAGGGCAGGGAGAGGGCUGAGUCGUGUUUUUCUCUCUCUUGACUGCUUGGACCAGACAGGCACCCCUUCCAUCGUGGAUAGUGGCCCCACUCCUCAGUUGGGGCAGGCCAACUGAGCCCAUGAGGCCACCCUUCCUUCCCCACUCUGCCCUGCCAGAGCCCUCCGUGAUGCCCAGGAAAGCCCCCAGCCCUGGCCAGCCCAAUGACCUCACACACAAGCCUCAGGACGGAAGCCAGCCCAGACAGAGGCUGCACAGAACACAAGGCCUAUGGUUUACGGCAUGUGCCCUGUCCCCAGAGAGUGGCAGCUAGGGGAAAGUCUCUGCCAGCUUCCCUGACUGGGCUAGAUAUUCCAUGUGUGGAGUAGUAAGGUCCAAAGGC